GAUGAAGAACGUAGCGAAAUGCGAUACGUAAUGUGAAUUGCAAAUUCAGUGAAUCAUCGAAUCUUUGAACGCACAUUGCGCCCGGUAGUAUUCUGCCGGGCAUGCCUGUUCGAGCGUCAUUUCAACCAUCAAGCCCCAGCGCUUGUGUUGGGGGCCUGCGGCUGCCGCAGCCCCCUAAAAGCAGUGGCGGGCUCGCUAUCACACCGAGUGCAGUAGUUCAUCUUCUCUCCGGUCUUGUGAGGCGGGUUCCGGCCGUGAAACACCCCACUACAUUCAAGUUUGACCUCGGAUCAGGUAGUAAUACCCGCUGAACUUAAGCAUAACAAUAAGCGGAGGA
rnacentral:misc_RNA from 1 species